UGUGAUCAUCUUCAGUUUUCAGCUGGGAUGUGAUCAUCUUCACUUCUGAACGAACCCCCCAAACAUGUGAUAAAGAAAAAGCAUAGAAUGACUAAUAGAAAGAAAAAGAAUUAUUAAUUAACAUCUCCUAUAAACACAAUGCUUGGUGAGAAAAAUGAAAAAUUUUUGAAUAAACUACGUGCAACUAAUCAAUCAAUUAAUAAGUAUACAUAAUUGUAUUCUGCUAUUUCCAGUAUCCAUAUAUAACGUCAAAGGUUGUACAAAUGUAUUAGUUUCAUAUUUUUAAAUAAAUGUUCAAUUUUUGUGCAAUGUACAUGGUCAUCUGGUUUUACAUUUAAAAUCUUUUAUGUUUUCUUUAUAUAAAUUUGGAAUACAGUUUCCCCUUACUUUGAAUAGCUAUAAAGUGUCUUUUGAGACUUUUCUUGUAUCUGAUGCUUGUGUAGUGUCUUUUUUAAUGACUUUACUUUUAGCUUUUAUACUGUACACACACAAAAUUUUAUGAGCUUAAAAAAAUGCAUAUGUAUACUUUAUCAUUCAAUGUAUGGUGUAUCGUUUUGUCAAAUGUCGACAAUUUUUCUUGAAUUUAAACCUUUUUUUUCGUCUAAAGUGGUAACAUGUUUUGUUUUUUUUAAAUAUUGUUUUCAUCUAUAAUUAAAAUAACAAAACAAAAACGUUGAAUAAAAAAUUUUGUUUCAUUUCAAAAG